rnacentral:rRNA from 1 species
GACGAACCGUGCGAACGUUAUUCGGAAUCACUGGGCUUAAAGCGCGUGUAGGCGGCCCGGCACGUCAUCGGCUGAAAUCCCCCGGCUCAACCGGGGAAGGGGCCGUGAUACGGCCGGGCUGGAGGGGGGUAGGGGGGACGGGAACUCACGGUGGAGCGGUGAAAUGCGUUGAGAUCGUGAGGAACGCCCGCGGCGAAAGCGCGUCCCUGGACCCCACCUGACGCUGAGACGCGAAAGCGUGGGUAGCAAACAGG